CACGUAGGGGGCGAGCGUUGUCCGGAUUUAUUGGGCGUAAAGAGCUCGUAGGCGGCUCAGUAAGUCAGGUGUGAAAACUCCAGGCUCAACCUGGAGACGCCACCUGAUACUGCUGUGGCUAGAGUCCGGUAGGGGAGCAUGGAAUUCCUGGUGUAGCGGUGAAAUGCGCAGAUAUCAGGAGGAACACCCGUGGCGAAGGCGGCUCUCUAUCUCGAUUCUGACGCUGAGGCGCGAAAGCUAGGGGAGCAAACGGG
rnacentral:rRNA from 1 species